rnacentral:rRNA from 1 species
AACGAACGUUAGCGGCGCGCUUAACACAUGCAAGUCGAGCGAGAAAGGGGCAACCCCGGUAAAGCGGCGCACGGGUGAGUAACACGUAGGUAAUUUACCCCCAGGUGGUGGAUAACCCUCCGAAAGGAGAGCUAAUACAGCAUGAGACCACGUCCUCGAAAGAGGAUGAGGUCAAAGCCGGCCUCUUCAUGAGAGCUGGCGCCAGGGGAUGAGCCUGCGGCCCAUCAGCUAGUUGGUAGGGUAAUGGCCUACCAAGGCGAAGACGGGUAGCUGGUCUGAGAGGAUGAUCAGCCACACUGGAACUGAGACACGGUCCAGACUCCGACGGGAGGCAGCAGUGGGGAAUCUUGCGCAAUGGGCGAAAGCCUGACGCAGCGACGCCGCGUGAGUGAUGAAGGCCUUCGGGUUGUAGCUCUGUGGAGAGGGACGAAUAAGCCAUGGCCAACAUCCAUGGUGAUGACGGUACCUCUUUAGCAAGCACCGGCUAACUCUGUGCCAGCCGCCGCGGUAAAAC